UACGUAGGUGGCAAGCGUUGUCCGGAAUUAUUGGGCGUAAAGCGCGCGCAGGUGGUUUCUUAAGUCUGAUGUGAAAGCCCACGGCUCAACCGUGGAGGGUCAUUGGAAACUGGGGAACUUGAGUGCAGGAGAGAAGAGUGGAAUUCCACGUGUAGCGGUGAAAUGCGUAGAGAUGGGGAGGAACACCAGUGGCGAAGGCGACUCUUUGGCCUGUAACUGACACUGAGGCGCGAAAGCGUGGGGAGCAAACAGG
rnacentral:rRNA from 1 species